rnacentral:rRNA from 1 species
ACGCUCGACACCUACGGGAGACAGCAGUGGGGAAUAUUGCACAAUGGGGGAAACCCUGAUGCAGCGACGCCGCGUGGAGGAAGAAGGUCUUCGGAUUGUAAACUCCUGUUGUUGGGGAAAAAGAGGAUGGUACCCAACAAGGAAGUGACGGCUAACUACGUGCCAGCAGCCGACGGUAAUCUGAGGCGGGCUGGACGAAGGC